ensembl:lncRNA MTA1-DT MTA1 divergent transcript
GCGCGCCCCUUCCCGGACAGUUCCUCUCGGCGCCCCCGAGUCCUCCCCGCGCGCCGCUUCCCGGGUGGGCCCUUCCACCAGAACCCCCUGGUAGAUCCUCCCCUGGUGCCCUGGGGGUAGAGGGGAGAUCCUCCACAAGGGCCAUUUCCCUGGUGAUCCCUCCCUGUGCCCCACAGGUGAGUCCUGCCGUAGCUCUCCAGGGGUUCCUCCUGAUGCUGGGGUCCUCCGGCAUUCCUCCCUGAGCCCCCCAAGGGCCCUGAAGCUCAGCGGCCCAGCCCUGGCCUCGGGGUCCCCACCCCACACCUCCCUUCCAGGCCUAACCUUUGCCCCCGACACCAGGCAGGGCGUGUCCUUGGCCUUCGCCGCCCAGCCCGCGUGGCAUCUCUGGACAGGUGGUCGUGCGCGCCUUGGUGUGGGCAGGCUCCGUAGCCGGCAAAGCCUCCCUGAACCGUGACCUGGUGAGAAGGCCGCAGAGGAGGUGCCUGUGCCCAGAGGCCACCUCCAAAGACCCCACCUGAGGCUGGAACCCAGCGCCUGCUGACCCCGCCAGCCCCAACAGGGCUGGAGUCCAGGAGCGGCCGUGCUCUUUCCGCAGUGAGGCAGCUGCCUUCUCUUCCCACCACCUGUCAGGAUGCCUUCCCGUGUGUGCUUGUGCACAGGUCUAAGGAGAGGAGAGUCCAGUGAGUGACCCAGACGCCCCAGCCAGGAAGAGCAUGAGGAAAGCAAAGCUGCAGCCUGAGAUCUCCUUCCACCAACUCCUGGCAUGGCCAGAAAGUUAGCCAGAAACACCAGAAAGUGCCAGGCAGCUAGGAAGCAUGGGGAGAGCCCCCUGAAGCUGCGUGUGUAGUGCCUGCUUCCGCUGCCAUCCCAGAAAUGGACGAGCUUCACCCUGAGAACCCAGCCACACCACUGGGACACAUCCUGACAGUGACAUGCACACUCUUCCCUGGCCCCAGCCUGGAGAGGAGCCUCCUGAAGACACCAGCCUUUGCUCCUUCUCCCAGUGGGAGUGGAGAGAACUGACUGCUGGAGUGGAGACAGUCAAGGCUGUCCUUCUGAGGGAGCACAGCACAGGGUCUGGUGUCCCAGGGAGGCAAUCUGAAAUUCAAGCCAGGCCUCCCCAGCGGAGAGGACACACCCCUCACCAUGCAGAGUGACGUUUAGUAAACUCUCAAAAGAGAGCACAGAGCCCCACUCCUCCAGCCGACCCAUACUCUGCCUCCCCACUCCAGACCAGUGAACAAGGUGGAUUGCCCUUAAGCCAGCUCAGAGGCAAAGUCCAAAGACCUCAGGUGAGUCAAACAAUAAAAACAAAGAAUUAAGAAGAAUCCAGCUGGGUGCGGUGGCUCACGCCUGUAAUCCCAGCACUUUGGGAGGCUGAGGCGGGAGGAUCACGAGCAGGAGGUCGAGACCAUCCUGGCUAACACGGUGAAACCCCGUCUCUACU